rnacentral:rRNA from 1 species
UCGCGAAACCUUUGCAAUAAGCGAAAGCUUGACAGGGCUAUCCCGCGUGCCAUCCGCUGAGGAAGGCUUUUACCCAGUCUAGAAAGCUGGGGGAAUAAGGAGAGGGCAAGUCUGGUGUCAGCCGCCGCGGUAAUACCAGCUCUUCGAGUGGUGUGGAUGUUUAUUGGGCCUAAAGCAUCCGUAGCUGGCUAGGUCAGUCCCUUGUUAAAUCCACCGAAUUAAUCGUUGGAUCGCGGGGGAUACUGCUUGGCUAGGGGACGAGAGAGGCAGACGGUAUUUUCGGGGUAGGGGUGAAAUCCUAUAAUCCCGGGAAGAACACCAGUGGCGAAGGCGGUCUGCUAGAACGCGCCCGACGGUGAGGGAUGAAAGCUGGGGGAGCGAACC